UUACGGGAGGCAGCAGUGAGGAAUAUUGGGCAAUAGGCGCAAGCCUGACCCAGCCAUGCCGCGUGAAGGAUGACUGCCCUAUGGGUUGUAAACUUCUUUUAUACGGGAAGAAACUUUCGAACGUGUUCGGAAUUGACGGUACUGUAUGAAUAAGCAUCGGCUAACUCCGUGCCAGCAGCCGCGGUAAUACGGAGGAUGCAAGCGUUAUCCGGAUUCAUUGGGUUUAAAGGGUGCGUAGGCGGGUUGAUAAGUCAGUGGUGAAAUCCUGCAGCUUAACUGUAGAACUGCCAUUGAUACUGUCAACCUUGAAUGCAGUUGAGGUAGGCGGAAUGUGUAAUGUAGCGGUGAAAUGCGUAGAUAUUACACAGAACACCGAUUGCGAAGGCAGCUUGCUAAACUGUGAUUGACGCUGAGGCACGAAAGCGUGGGGAUCAAACAGGAUUAGAUACCCCGGUAGC
rnacentral:rRNA from 1 species